AACAAGGCGUACCUGCGGACCUGCGGAAGGAUCAUUAACAAUUGUCCAUUCUCCUUUACAAUAUGGAUGGUUCAAAUCCAUAUCCACCUUCUUGUGCACUUCAUUGACAUGUUUGCUUUGGCAGUUUGCGGGAGAGAAGAGAGAUCCUUCGAUCGUUUCUCCGUGGAUGGGAAAAAGGGAUGAAAAGUCAUUCUUUUCUCACCUUUUUUUUUGUUCCCCUCCGGCGCUGCCAGAGUUUUU
rnacentral:misc_RNA from 1 species